rnacentral:tRNA from 1 species
GGUUGUGGCUCAGCGGUAGAGCGCUCGCCUAGCACGUGCAAGACCCUGGGUCCGAUCCUAAGCACCA